rnacentral:rRNA from 1 species
GACUGGGGCGGUCGCCUCCUAAAGGGUAACGGAGGCGCGCGAAGGUCCGCUCGGGACGGUCGGCAACCGUCCUUUUGAAUGCAAGAGUACAAGCGGGCUUGACUGCGAGGCCCACAAGCCGAGCAGGUGCGAAAGCAGGCUCUAGUGAUCCGGCGGCCCCGAGUGGGUGGGCCGUCGCUCAACGGAUAAAAGGUACUCUGGGGAUAACAGGCUGAUACCGCCCAAGAGUUCAUAU